rnacentral:lncRNA from 1 species
GUACUACUUGCCAACCCUAUGUAAGUUCCUUAUUUUCCCUUUGCUGUGCCUAUCUCGAUCAGCAAGAAAGACACAACUCGGGAACUCUUCUUCCUGCAGUUUAUUUCAGGAGCCUUGUACAAUCUUCUUCUGGGGGCCCUGAGGAAACCCGACCCUCUGCUUAAAAGGCCCUUGGCAGCCCACCCCAGACUGCCACGUGGCAAAAGCAGAAGGGUCCAUAUACACGGAAGCAGGCCUGAAGCUCAGCCUUAGCCAGAUAAGAAAUUGUCCAGCACAAAGACCUCUCACCCUCGGAAUGGUGGGAGGCAGAAGCCGGCGCCAUCUUUUGGGCCGACAAAGCACAGCUCUCCACAUCCCUUCUUACUGCCGUCAUCACAAAAGAAUGGAAUGGCCGGGCGGUGCCAAGGAAACCUGGUGACACCUGAUUAUUUGGACAAGUCACCAGGAUUUCUAGUCACCAUGCACUUCCAGUGGUCACCACCCAUACCACUGCAAGUGUCUGCUUAUGCAAGGUGUCACACUCACUAGAUAUUCUGGAUAAGCUGAGUUAAACAAUAGCCAGUGUAGGAAAUCAAGCACUUACUUUGUAAAUCCUCUGCUAACACCUGCAGCAUUCCAGGACAAGGGGUCGCUGAUCGCUUACAUCCAGGAAAAUAGAUCUUUUCCAACCCAAUUGGUUUUCCAUCAAUGCUAUGUCAAUCUGCCACCAAAGCUAUGGCUACAGGUGACUGAAGUUUAUUAUGUCAUCACCUCCAAGCUUCAGAAGGUCAUAUGGGUUUGACCCUAUGUCCUACCUUGGGGUUAAGAGGCUCCAAGCAAAAAGUCCCUAUUACUGAUCUCAGCACUGGAGGUCUUGAGCACAUGGGUGACCAGAACCUGUAUGCUUGCUGCCCAGGAUCUGAGCCCAGUCAGGUACUGUUGGAAUGGCUUCCCAAGUUACCUCCUGUUCUCUCCCUUUAGCAUCCUCCAGCAGCCCACUAUAGAGACAAAACCCACACUCUAUCUCUGCCUAAAUCCUGUCAGCCAGCCUUGCUCCUGAGGUCGAACAGAACACGAAAGUGGUGCUGGUAGAACUUCUAUAGGGGUUUCAGGAGGGCAUCCCUUUCCUCUGUGCACACAAUCUCUGGAGUUCUUUGACCUCUCUGUAACUUAAGUGACGCAUAUUAGUACUCAAUUUUCACUUAGUGUUAUGCCACAGAAGACUUUCACAUGGCAUAGUUCAUAUUUUAAU